AUAUAUAUAUAUAUAUAUAUAUAUAUAUAUAUAUACAUAUUUAAUCAGUGGUUUUGUCACCAGCAACAACACAUUGCUCAAUUUUGUUCCAGUAAGUUAUGCACCAUAAUAACGUUCUAAAAAAUCUGCG